UUUUUCUUUUUUACAUGGGUCACUUGGAGCAGUUAUUGAAGGCAUUGUUUCCCCCAUUUUGCAUGUGAACAAACCGAGGCACAGAUUUGUUUCACAAAAUGCCUCCUUUCCAAUGUUGCAACCGAGUGGAGAUCAGAACCCGAGGAUGCCCUCUCUCCCGUCUUCUUUCUUUUUCCACGGGCCAGUGUAGGAAGUUUGCACAGAGUGAUUGAUACAGACGAGCCAGAGCUGACCAAUGUGUAAACUGAUCGGUGCUUAUGUGUAACGCUUUGAAUUGCCACAAUUAUUUCUGCACAUUGGGCCUGCCUUAAAUGUGGAAUCCGCUAUUCCAACAUCAGUUCCCGGUUUUUUUUUUGUUGUUGUUUUUUUUUUUUUUAGUUCCCGGCAGGGUAAUUGCCUCUCCUUCCGUAGCGCGCAGUUGCCAGCUGCCCGGCUGCCCUGGGAGCUUUGAAGUGAAAGGCGCACCACGGCUUUUCUAAACGCCGCUCAUGCGCGCGCUGGAAAGGAGGGCGCUGGGUCAUCCUCAACCUCAUCCACCUCUCGAUCCCGUUCUUCUUUAAAAAGCCAGGUGGCGCCAACUCUCAACCCCUGCUAGAGCUGGAGGAUCUUCCUGCCGCGCGCAGGGGGGAGGAGAGUUGGAAGAAGGGCACCACCUCAGGCCCGCUCUUUCGCUCUGCGCCCUCCGCUCUGCGCCCUCGGCUCUGCGGAAAGGGACACGUGCUUUUCUCUUCUUCCGCACCCCUCGCAGGAUGACGGCAAGCCUAAAGGGAAACGAGGUGUCCUGUGUGCCACAUGGAGCUCGGGGAACGGAAAUAAUUAAAGCCAUGAGGUUUCCUGGCUCUACGCGGUGUUUACGGAAGAAGGAAGAGACUCCAUAAUACAAGCAUAUCGACUUACUUGAUCUAAACCAAACAUCGCUGAACAAAAAUGUUGGUUGAAGCCUAGCAAAUAACUACUAAUCUGGUAACGAGAAUUUAGCCAUACGCAAGUGCUGCUGUUGCAAAUCAUCACCAAAUUCGAAGUUAAGAUGAACUCAAUAAAAGGUUUUUUUUUUUUUCCUCCUUUUCAAUUCGCAGGAAUACUAAAAGUAGAGUUGGUAUCAUGGCCUAUAGCAAUUUUAAGAUUUUAAUUGAAAUGACAGUAACAUACAUA